GGGACGGCACGUCACGCGUCACUUCCUCCGCUUUCGCCUAUCUCGCGCGAGCGUCUUCUCGGUAAAGAUUCGAUCUAGGGUUGGAAUGCACAAAUCAUUCAAGAGGAGUUGCGGUGUCGAGUCGACCGCAGCAGCACCGGCGUGGGCGGUGAUUCGUCGGGAGGUGACUCGUGGAGUUGUCGCCCGGCUCCGAGGGGUUGGCCUCACGCCUUCAACAACCUGCUUUGCUCGGAUCGGUGGCUGCUUCUUCCAGGCGGCAGGGCGAAGGGGUUUCUGCUGGUGUAUAUCACUGGCUAGCACUUGGCGUACACAUUAACAGCUCUUUGUGGAGCACAUUUGGGUCACACGAGACAACACCGAGGUCGAUCGUAUCGGACAAAGUCUUACACUAUGUCAGUGGACAAAUGACAUCCGCGGCAAUAUCUGUGCCAACUUUGAAGAGCUGAGAGAGAUGUUCCUCCAGCUGCUGUACGAGCACAUCAGAGAAGAAUCGAGACCACGAAGGUGAUUGCUUGAACUAUAGUCUCUUCAAGAACUCUUCUACAUAGCGAUUGAAGCAUUCUGUUGCUUUGCGAGCUCAGUCACAAGGAGUUUCUGUCGAGGAGCCUGAGACAGUGGGAUUCAGCUUCAAGUGGGACGCUUUGCUCACCAUUAAAUUUCUUGUGUCUUCUCUUCGUUCAGUGUUCUCUAAUGUGUUUGCUCGGUCAGUCAUUUCACUCUUAGGCUAUGCUGCUUCAAAUGAAAUAGCCAGGCAAGCUGCUGAAAUCCUGUUUGAUCCAGACACAGACUACGACGAGGUAGGACGCUUUAAUUGGCCA